GACGAACGCUGGCGGCGCGCCUAACACAUGCAAGUCGAACGAGCGAGAGAGAGCUUGCUUUCUCGAGCGAGUGGCGAACGGGUGAGUAACGCGUGAGGAACCUGCCUUUCAGUGGGGGACAACAGUUGGAAACGACUGCUAAUACCGCAUGUGGUCCUCGGAAGGCAUCUUCUGAGGAAGAAAGGAUUUAUUCGGUACAGGAUGGGCCCGCAUCUGAUUAGCUAGUUGGUGAGAUAACAGCCCACCAAGGCGACGAUCAGUAGCCGACCUGAGAGGGUGAUCGGCCACAUUGGGACUGAGACACGGCCCAG
rnacentral:rRNA from 1 species